rnacentral:rRNA from 1 species
UACGGGGGGGGGCAAGCGUUGUUCGGAAUUACUGGGCGUAAAGGGCUCGUAGGCGGCCAACUAAGUCAGACGUGAAAUCCCUCGGCUUAACCGGGGAACUGCAUCCGAUACUGGAUGGCUUGAAUCCGGGAGAGGGAUGCGGAAUUCCAGGUGUAGCGGUGAAAUGCGUAGAUAUCAGGAGGAACACCGGUGGCGAAGGCGGCUUGCUGGGCCUUACCUGACGCUGAGGAGCGAAAGCGUGGGGAGCGAACAGG